GAGAGAGGGAGUGCAAAUCAGGAGGCAGCUGUUAGAGAGAGAGGGAGUGCAAAUCAGGAGGCAGCUGUUAGAGAGAGAGGGAGUGCAAAUCAGGAGGCAGCUGUUAGAGAGAGAGGGAGUGCAAAUCAGGAGGCAGCGGACAGAAUGCCUAGAUUCCGGACAUGAAGACCUCAACCGACAUUCCACAACAGAAAGUGCAGGAAAACCACAUGCUGGAUUUCAGAAAACACCAGAAAGUCCCAUCAGUGAAGCAGUUUUUUCGCAUUACUUUUUUUACUGUCUAUAAAUUCUUUCGAUGACAAUAAUCUAAUGAUAACAAGGCGGAAGUAUAAUUAUCAAAAUGAGUCUGAAAGAUCAUAUAGAUCUGUUAUGAAUCCUGAACAGUCAAAAUAACAUUCUAAGAUGGACACUGAUAACUCCCUGUCUUCUUCAUUUGAGGAUGAACAGCACAGUUCUGCAUGAAAGGUCAUAAAAACGCAGGAUUUUAAAUUAAGUGCUGUCGACAAGGACGUCAAAAAUAGUUUCAUGGCAAAUAUUUCGGCCCUCGUGCUGAAGAACUUGCUGGAUGAUCCCUUCAUCUUAUCGGAGCGUCCCGCCUCAGCUGAGAGGAUCUGGAGCGCGAGAGCGUGAGAGCGGCGGUUCUUACCCAGUUGAGCCGCGUGUUGCCCAGCAGUAGAG